rnacentral:rRNA from 1 species
CCUACGGGUGGCAGCAGUGGGGAAUAUUGCACAAUGGGGGAAACCCUGAUGCAGCAACGCCGCGUGAGUGAAGAAGUAUUUCGGUAUGUAAAGCUCUAUCAGCAGGGAAGAAGAUGACGGUACCUGAGUAAGAAGCCCCGGCUAACUACGUGCCAGCAGCCGCGGUAAUACGUAGGGGGCAAGCGUUAUCCGGAUUUACUGGGUGUAAAGGGAGCGUAGACGGCUGUGCAAGUCUGAAGUGAAAGCCCGGGGCUCAACCCCGGGACUGCUUUGGAAACUGUGUAGCUAGAGUGCUGGAGAGGCAAGCGGACUGCCUAGUGCAGCGGUGAAAUGCAUAGAUAUCGCGCAGAACUCCGAUUGCGAAGGCAGCAUGCCGGCUCCACACUGACGCUGAGGCACGAAAGCGUGGGUAUCGAACAGGAUUAGAUACCCCAGUAGUC